AGCGGCGGACGGGUGAGUAACGCGUGGGUAACCUGCCCCAUACAGGGGGAUAACAGUUGGAAACGGCUGCUAAUACCGCAUAAGCGCACAGUACCGCAUGGUACGGUGUGAAAAACUCCGGUGGUAUGAGAUGGACCCGCGUCUGAUUAGGUAGUUGGUGGGGUAACGGCCUACCAAGCCGACGAUCAGUAGCCGACCUGAGAGGGUGAACGGCCACAUUGGGACUGAGACACGGCCCAG
rnacentral:rRNA from 1 species